UCUCCGUAGGUGAACCUGCGGAGGGAUCAUUACAGAAUUCUCGCCCUCGCGGGUAGAUCUCCCACCCACUGUUAUCGUUACUGUGUUGCUUUGGCGGGCCGCCGGGCCCCGCUCGGCCGCCGGCUCCGGCUGGCGCGCGCCCGCCAGAGGCCCAGCAAACUCUGAAUGUUAGUGUCGUCUGAGUACUAUAUAAUAGUUAAAACUUUCAACAACGGAUCUCUUGGUUCUG
rnacentral:misc_RNA from 1 species